UGAUUGCACUGUGGUCUGAGAGACAGUUUGUUAUAAUUUCUGUUCUUGUACAUUGCUGGAGGAGUGCUUUACUUCCAAUUAUGUGGUCAAUUUUUUUUUUUUUAUGUGGUCAAUUUUGGAAUAAGUGCAAUGUGGUGCUGAGAAGAAUGUAUAUUCUGUUGAUAUGGGGUGAAGAGUUCUAUAGAUGUCUCUUAGGUCUGCUUGCUGCAGAGAUGUGUUCAAUUCCUGGAUAUCCUUGUUAACUUUCUGUCUCGUUGAUCUGUCUAAUGUUGACAGUGGAGUGUUGAAGUCUCCCAUUAUUAUUGUAUGGGAGUCUAAGUCUCUUUGUAAGUCUCUAAGGACUUGCUUUAUGAAUCUGGGUCCUCCUGUAUUGGGUGCAUAUAUAUUUAGGAUAGUUAGCUCUUCCUGUUAAAUUGAUCCGUUUACUAUUAUGUAAUGGCCUUCUUUGUCUCUUUUGAUCUUUGAUGGUUCAAAGUCUGUUUUAUCAGAGACUAGUAUUGCAACCCCUGCUUUUUCUUGUUCUCCAUUUGCUUGGUAAAUAUUCCUCCAUCCUUUUAUUUUGAGCCUAUGUAUGUCUCUGCAUGUGAGAUGGGUCUCCUGAAUACAGCAGACUGAUGGGUCUUGACUCUUUAUCCAGUUUGCCAGUCUGUGUCUUUUAAUUGGAGCAUUUAGUCCAUUUACAUUUAAGGUUAAGAUUGUUAUGUGUGAACUUGAUCCUGCCAUUAUGAUAUUAACUGGUUAUUUUGCUCAUUAGUUGAUGCAGUUUCUUCCUAGCCUCGAUGGUCUUUACAUUUUGGCAUGUUUUUGCAAUGGCUGGUACCGGUUGUUCCUUUCCAUGUUUAGUGCUUCCUUCAGGGUCUCUUGUAAGGCAGACCUAGUGGUGACAAAACCUCUAAGCAUUUGCUUAUCUGUAAAGGAUUUUAUUUCUCCUUCACUGAUGAAACUUAGUUUUACUGGAUAUGAAAUUCUGGGUUUAAAAUUCUUUUCUUUAAGAAUGUUGAAUAUUGGCCCCCACUCUCUUCUGGCUUGUAGAGUUUCUGCCGAGAGAUCUGCCGUUAGUCUAAUGGGCUUCCCUUUGUGGGUAACCCGACCUUUCUCUCUGGCUGGAGAGUUUCUGCUGAGAGGUCUGCUGUUAGACUCAUGAGCUUCCCUUUGUGUGUAACCCAACCUUUCUAUCUGGCUGCCUUUAACAUUUUUUCCUUCAUUUCAACUUUGGUGAAUCUGACAUUUAUGUGUCUUGGAGUUGCUGUUCUCGAGGAGUAUCUUUGUAGCAUUCUCUGUAUUUCCUGAAUUUGAAUAUUGGCCUGCCUUACUAGGUUGGGGAAGUUCUCCUGGAUGAUAUGCUGCAGAAUGUUUUCUAUCUUGGUACCAUUUUCCCCGUCACUUUCAGGCACCGCAAUCAGACGUAGAUUUGGUCUUUUCACAUAGUCCCAUAUUUCUUGGAGGCUUUGUUCUUUUUACUCUUUUUUUCUCUACACUUCUUUUCUCAGUUCAUUUCAUUCAUUUGAUCUUCAAUUGCUGAUACUCUUUCUUCCAGUUGAUCGAGUCGGUUACUGAAGCUUGUGCAUUUGUCACGUAGUUCUCAUGUCAUGGUUUUCAUCUCUAUCGGUUCUUUUAAGGUCUUCUCUGCAUUGGUUAUUCUAGUUAGCCAUUCAUCCAUUCUUUUUUCAAGAUUUUUAGUUUCUUUGUGCUGUUUAUGUAGUUCCUCCUUUAGCUCUGAGAAGUUUGAUCAACUGAAGCCUUCUUCUCUCAACUCGUCAAAGUCAUUCUCUGUUCAGCUUUGUUCCAUUGCUGGCAAUGAGCUGCAUUCCUUUGGAGGGGCGAAUACACUCUGAUUUUUUGAAUAUCCAGCUUUUCUGCACUGCUUUUCCCCCAUCUUUGUGGUUUUAUCUGCCUUUGGUCUUUGAAGAUAGUGACAUACUGAUGGGGUUUUGGUGUGGGUGUCUUUUCUGUUUGUCAGUUUUCCUUCUAACAGUCAGGACCCUCAGCUACAGGGCUGUUGGAGUUUGCUUGAGGUCCACUCCAGACCCUGUUUGCCUGGGUAUCAGUAGUGGAGGCUGCAGAAGAUAGAAUAUUGCUGAACAGCGAGUGUUGCUAUCUGAUUCUUGCUCUGGAAGCUUCGUCUCUUGGGUGAACCCCACCGUGUGAGGUGUGAGGUGUCGGUCUGCUGCUAGUGGGGGGUGUCUCCCAGUUAGGCUACUCAGGGGUCAGGGACCCACUUGAGCAGGCAGUCUGUCCGUUCUCAGAUCUCAACCUCCGUGCUGGGAGAUCCCCUGCUCUCUUCAAAGCUGUCAGACAGGGGCAUUUACCUUUGCCGAAGUUUCUGCUGCUUUUUGUUUAGCUAUGCCCUGUCCCCAGAUGUGGAGUCUACAGAGGCUGGCUGGCCUCCUUGAGCUGUGGUGGGCUCCACCCAAUUCGAGCUUCCUGGUGGCUUUGUUUACCUACUUAAGCCUCAGCAAUGAUGGGCGCCCCUCCCCCAGCCUCGCUGCUGCCUUGCAGUUAGAUCUCAGACUGCUGUGCUAGCAAUGAGGGAGGCUCUGUGGGCGUGGGACCCUCCAGGCCAGGUGUGGGAUAUAAUCUCUUGGUGUGCCGUUUGCCGUUUGCUGAGACCCAUGGUGAAGCACAGUAUUAGGGUGGGAGUUAUCCCAUUUUCCAGGUGUUAUGUAUCUCAAUUUCCUUUGUCUAGGAAAAGGGAUUCCCUUCCCCCUUGUGCUUCCCAGGUGAGGCAUUCUUCCCUGCCUCGCCCUGCUUCAGCUCUCGCUGGUUGGACUGCACGCACUGACCAGCAUCAUCUGUCUGACACGCCCCAGUGAGAUGAUCCUGGUACCUCAGUUGAAAAUGCAGAAAUCACCUGUCUUCUCUCUUGCCUGGGCUGGGAGCUGGAGCCUGGAGCUGUUCCUAUUUGGCCAUCUUGGGUGCCACCCUCUCUGUCUUUUAAUUGGGGCAAUUAGCCCAUUCACACUUAAAGAACCCAAUCUUUCUCUUUGGCUGCCCUCAACAUUUUCUUGUUGAUUUCAAGCUUGGUGAAUCUGAUGAUUAUGUGUCUUCACAUUGCUCUUCUUGAAGAUUAUCUUAGUGGUGUUUUCUGUAUUUCCUGAAUUUGAAUGUUGGCCUGUCUUGCUAGGUUAUGGAAGUUCUCCUCGAUAACAUCCUGAAGAGUGUUUUCCAACUUGGUUCCAUUCUCCCCGUCAUUUUCAGGUACACCAGUCAACUGUAGGUUUAUGUAGUCCCAUAUUUCUUGGAGGCUUUGUUUGUUUCUUUUUGUUCUUUUUUCUCGAAUCUUGUCUUCAUGCUUUAUUUCAUUAAGUUGAUUUUCAAUCUCUGAUAUCCUUUCUUCCACUUGUUUGAUUCAGCUAUUGAUACUUCUGUAUGCUUCAUGAAGUUCUCUUGCUGUAUUUUUCAGCCCCAUGAGGUCAUUUAUGUUCUUCUUUAAACUGGUUAUUCUAGUUAGCAGUUCCUUUAAGUUUUUAUCAAGGUUCUUAGCUUACUUGCAUUGAGUUAGAAUAUGCUUCUUUAGCUCAGAGGAGUUUGUUUUUACCCACCUUCUGAAGCCUACUUAUGUGAAUCCUUUAAACUCAUUCUUUGUCCAGUUUUGUUCCCUUGAUGGUGAGAAGUCGUGAUUUUUUUGGAGGAAAAGAGACAUUCUGGUUUUUGUAGUUUUCAGCAUUUUUUUCACUGGUUUUUACUCAUCUUUGUGUA
rnacentral:lncRNA from 1 species